rnacentral:sRNA from 1 species
UCAACAGGGUGGGCUCUACGCUUGUGAAC